rnacentral:rRNA from 1 species
UACGGGGGGAGCAAGCGUUGUUCGGAUUCAUUGGGCGUAAAAGGGUGUGUAGGUGGCGCCGUAAGUCGGGUGUGAAAAUUUCCGGAGCUUAACUCCGGAAACUGCAUUCGAUACUGCGGUGCUUGAGGACUGGAGAGGAGACUGGAAUUCCUGGUGUAGCGGUGAAAUGCGCAGAUAUCAGGAGGAACACCGGUGGCGAAGGCGGGUCUCUGGGCCGAUACUGACGCUGGAGGAGCGAAAGCGUGGGGAGCGAACAGG